CAGUCGAACGAAGCACCUUGAUUUGAUUCUUCGGAUGAAGAUCUUGGUGACUGAGUGGCGGACGGGUGAGUAACGCGUGGGUAACCUGCCUCAUACAGGGGGAUAACAGUUAGAAAUGACUGCUAGUACCGCAUAAGACCACAGCACCGCAUGGUGCAGGGGUAAAAACUCCGGUGGUAUGAGAUGGACCCGCGUCUGAUUAGGUAGUUGGUGGGGUAACGGCCUACCAAGCCGACGAUCAGUAGCCGACCUGAGAGGGUGACCGGCCACAUUGGGACUGAGACACGGCCCAAACUCCUACGGGAGGCAGCAGUGGGGAAUAUUGCACAAUGGGGGAAACCCUGAUGCAGCGACGCCGCGUGAGCGAUGAAGUAUUUCGGUAUGUAAAGCUCUAUCAGCAGGGAAGAAAAUGACGGUACCUGACUAAGAAGCACCGGCUAAAUACGUGCCAGCAGCCGCGGCAAUACGUAUGGUGCAAGCGUUAUCCGGAUUUACUGGGUGUAAAGGGAGCGUAGACGGAGUGGCAAGUCUGAUGUGAAAACCCGGGGCUCAACCCCGGGACUGCAUUGGAAACUGUCAAUCUAGAGUACCGGAGAGGUAAGCGGAAUUCCUAGUGUAGCGGUGAAAUGCGUAGAUAUUAGGAGGAACACCAGUGGCGAAGGCGGCUUACUGGACGGUAACUGACGUUGAGGCUCGAAAGCGUGGGGAGCAAACAGGAUUAGAUACCCUGGUAGUCCACGCCGUANACGAUGACUACU
rnacentral:rRNA from 1 species